CUGGGUAAUGCAGUUUUUCCCUUACAUCUACCGGGUGUGGGAACUCACCCAGCGCAUCCGACUGCACGGUUUUUGUGAGCAGUGUCUUGCACCAAACUCCUGUCUCCUCCUGUGACUUAGAAUGCCUAACUUCCUGGGAAUGCAGCACAGGUCUCAGCCUCAUUUUGCCCAGCCCCUAUUCAAGACGGAUUUGCUGUGGUUCAAAUGCUUCUGACAAUAUUCCUCAUGGUGAAUGCUGGAUUUUGCAUGCCCGAGGCCCUGGGCCACACUGUAUGUUUGCUUUUUGCAAGGGCUGUAUGGCUAUGACUAGUUAUGUGGACCCUGCAUUCCUAUGUAAAUGACCCUCCAUAAAAACCCCAGAAAUGAAUGCUUGAGUGAACUUCCCUGGCUUGUAUUAUAAUACUGUGAACAUCUUGUCACACAUCUUUGCUGGGGGAAUUAAGUGUGUCCCUAUGUGACCGUAAUGGGAGAUAACACCCAGAGUUUUGUGCCUGCUUUCAUGUGGACUUCAUUCUAUGUGAUUUUUCCCUUUGGUGAUCCUGGUCUAUAUCCUUUUAUUGUAAUAAACUAUAACCAUAACAGCUUUUCUGAGUCUUGUGUGUACUUCUAGCAAAUCAUGAAGCCUGAGGUAAGUAACCUAAAAUAUCAAGAUGAUUAAGGCCAUUCAUCCACGUAUCCAUUUAGCAGAUAUCUGAAUAUCUACUACUGACUAGGAACUAUGUGCAUGGAACAAUUAGGAUAAAAUCCAUAUUAACAUCUGUGCUCUUUUGAAGCUGGAAAUCUAGUUGGUGAGACAGUCAGGAG
rnacentral:lncRNA from 10 species